AGCAGUAGCCACGGGAAUACGGAGGGUGCAAGCGUUAAUCGGAAUUACUGGGCGUAAAGCGCACGCAGGCGGUCUGACAAGUCAGAUGUGAAAUCCCCGGGCUUAACCUGGGAACUGCAUUCGAAACUGUCAGGCUGGAGUCUUGUAGAGGGGGGUGGAAUUCCAGGUGUAGCGGUGAAAUGCGUAGAGAUCUGGAGGAAUACCGGUGGCGAAGGCGGCCCCCUGGACAAAGACUGACGCUCAGGUGCGAAAGCGUGGGGAGCAAACAGGAUUAGAGACCCCAGUAGUCCCUGUCUCUUAUAC
rnacentral:rRNA from 1 species